GGAUGUGAGGGCUAUCUGGCUGAAACAUCUGUCACCCCAUUGAUUGCCAUGGUUGAUUCGGCUGAUCUGGCUGGCUAGGUAGGUGUCCCCUUCCUCCCUCACUGCUCCAUGUGGGUCCCUCCUGAAGCUGUGUGCUCUGUUGAAGAAGACGACCUUCCCCAAUAGAGGAGAGGACUGUUUUUCCAUCAAGGAUAUACGAGUAGCUGCACUCCCCUGCUAGGACCUCCAAAAAAGCUCUCAAGGUCCAUUUGUAGGAGAAUGUAAGGUAGUGAAGCUUCCAAGACUGUAGACACAUCCAAAUGAGGUGCUGCAUUUGGCAGUCUGCCUUUCUUU
ensembl:misc_RNA 7SK 7SK RNA